UACGUAGGGACCGAGCGUUGUCCGGAAUCAUUGGGCGUAAAGAGCGUGUAGGCGGCCUGCUAAGUCCUGCGUGAAAUCUCGGGGCUCAACCCCGAGCGGUCGUGGGAAACUGGCAGGCUAGAGUGCGGGAGAGGAGAGUGGAAUUCAUGGUGUAGCAGUGAAAUGCGUAGAUAUCAUGAGGAAUACCAGAGGCGAAGGCGGCUACCUGGACAAUUGCUGACGCUCGAGGCACGAAAGCGUGGGGAGCAAAAGGG
rnacentral:rRNA from 1 species